CUUUGGCUGCUUUCCCAGAACUGCCAGGCUAAGACCUUGGCAGAGACUCAACAGGAAACUGAACUCUAUUUGCAUAUCCUUUUAUACAUGGGAGAUUAAAAGCUUCAACCUUGAGUGAUCACAGUUUUUGAGCAUCAUGAAUGAGGCAUUAAAGAGGAGGAGGAGUAUCCCAAGGGAGGUGAACUGGAGGCAAAGCAAGAAGUCAUGGGUUAAGAAAAAUGACCAUGAUGGGUGACCAGCCUCGCCUGAGAGGUACGUAUGAGCUAGAGUUUCUGACCACCAAGUCAUCAGUUGGAACAAUCUUUCUGGCCAACAGAACCUCUAGAGGAGCCACUCAGGAUGGAUUCCUUAGGGUCUUCUUCACAUCUCUCCUUACCCUUUGGCCCAACCUGCUCUGAAAACACACAGACACAAAAGAAGAGGUAGAAGAUGAAAAUGAGGGCAAAAGAGCAUAUUCAGAUCUCAAGCAAAACCUGGUUGUUUGAUUUAUCAACGUUACCUCGGAACCUGUGCUGGAAACCAGGGCCGUAGGUGCCCCCAUCUCGGAAUAUGAAGCAUGUCUGGGACCAGACUGGCCUGAGGAAGUUCAGAUGGAUGCAAACUCAGAUUUGCUUGACCUCAUGGUAUUUGGCCUCCGUACCCUCGCUUCACUGCACUUACCCAACUGUCCAUCUCUCCAGUAUUCUGAGAGGACCAUUAGCAAGUACUCAAGGUGGUCAAAUUCUUUGAAAUUAAAAAUGGCACCAUCAGUACCCACCUAUGGGAAAUAAUAAUGCCCAUUCUCUAUAAUUCUUUGAAAAUUGUCAAGGGCAGUUUCUUUGGACUUAAACAUAGUUGGUCUUUCAAUAUCAGGUUGCCUAGCUCUUGGCACUUCCUAUGAAUCCAGUCAAAUGAUUUUUUUUUUUACUGUGCACCAGACCCUGAGGAUGCACUGCUGAAUGAUAGAUGUGCUCUCUUCUCCCUUGGAGCUUCUGUUCUAGCGUGAGAGCCAGUCAUCAGUUAAUGAUUUGCAUCAUGAAUUCUUCCACUGAUGCUGUGAUGGGUGCUCUGCAGAAGCAGGGGGAUUGCGAGAGCAUGCUACAGGGGCCAGGACCUGGCCAGGAGGUCCAGGAAGACUGCCCUAAAGAAGUGGCUUGGCAGCUGAGAUUGAAAAACAGAAGUUGCCCAGGGGUGCCAGACCAUGUCUGUUUGUCCCCCCACAUCCACUCCACUUCCUACUUGAGGAGGCUGACCGUAAUGGACAGCAUCCACCUGGCCCCUUUGCUCUCUGGCAUCCAAUUCAGUUUGGCCAGUGGGAGACACCAUCAGGAGAUGAAGUGCAAAGAGGAGAUGGGGGUGGAGUGGUAGGCGCCCAGGCUCCUUCCUGCCAGGCUGCCGAGGGCCGUGGCUGCCUUCCUCCUGGGGGCUGCAGCUGUCCCACAGCUGCAGGUUCCAGAAAAGGCCCCUCCACUCCGUGCUUCACACUAGGGUGGCAGUGGCUUCUUGUUGCCAGACCACCUUUUCUUUUUUCAGUUUUCCAUAACCCAGCUGUAUUCAUUUUCUAUGGCUGCUUUAACAAAGUACCACAAACUGGGUGGCUAAAGACAACAGAAAUUUAUUUUCAGUUCUGGAGUCUAGAAGUCUACAAUCAAGGUGUCAGCAGGGUCCUGCUCCUUCUGAAACCUGGAGGGGAAUUCUCCUUUGCCCCUUCCCACUUCUGCUGGUUUGGUGGCAGUCUUUGGCUCUUCAGCGUUUGCAGCUGCAGCGCUCAUCUUGGCCUUCAUGGUCACGUGGCAUGCUUUUUGUGUCUUUGUCUUUACAUGGCUGCCUUCUUACAAAGACAUCAGUCAUAUUGGAUUGGGGUCCACCUUACCUAAGUAUGACCGCGUCUUAACCAGUUACAUCAGUCUUAACUAAUCGCGUCCAUUGCAGUGAUGCUAUUUCCAAGAAAGGUCAUUGUCUGAGGUACUGGGGGUUAAGACUUCAACAUAUCUAUUUUUUGAGGGGCACAAUUCAAUCUGUAACACCUGCCCAGACCUUGUAAAUAUCCCUUUCAUUAGAUUCUCUGUAAAUUACCCCUUUGAGAGAACACUUUGCCUUUUGCUGGGACUCUCAUAUGUCAGAUAUAGGGGGCAGGUGGAGGGAAAGAACAUUAAGAAAUGAGGACAUGCCCAAAAAAAGCGCCCUGUGGCAGGAAGAAGUACUUUGAGCUUAAAGCUGCAUAAAUAUCAAAAGAACAGUUAGCAAGGGCUCGAAUAAAUCUGUCUUCCUAGAGGAUCACUAUUGAACUAUCCCAGAUUAUUCAGGAAGUCAUUCUGAAAAAUCCCAAGAAUGUGCUUGUGUUUAUGACUGUAAUUUAUAUCUGCCACAGGUUAAAGGUAAUUUUAAGGGUUUAUCGCUAAUGGGAAAAACAACCUUCCUCUAGCCCUGACCAGGAGAAAUUCAGUACAAACAGUAAGUCAAAGCCUGUGGUAGAAGUGGAGAAAGAACCGAUGGGAGAGGCACAGAGUGGCUGGAAGAUGUGCCAUGCCUGGUCCAGGAGAGGCAGGAACUGCUGCUGGGAGUUUGGCCUAGGCUUGUGGCAGGAGCAAGAUGAACCUGAUCACAAAGAUGGCCUAUCUUGCGGUGCCCAGGUAGAAGUCAGAAAGUGUGCCAGGGCCCCUGCCCUUGAACUCUACCUUUCUCGGUCUCUGUGAAGGCUCUGUUCCUUCUGCUUAGUCACUUGUUCUUUGUCAAGGCCAGGGAUUAGGCCACAGCUUGCCUGGCCCUGGGGGAUGCCUGUCAUUUGUUAUGACUUUCUGGGAGAACUAAUGUUUCCUUGCAGUCUAUGAGGAAUAAAUGGAAUUACAUUUACAAAUACUUGGCUCAUUCUUGGUUGUUAGUUUCCACCUUCCAGAGAAGACCUGAGGCUUGAGCAGUUCCUAGGAGAGGCAAGGGUGCUUUGGGGGCUUUAUCCACCCUUCCCCAUAGUCUCCAUCAGUUCCUAUUUUUUGACAUCUUUUCCAAUCUUAUGUGCUAUGAAAAUGCAGCAUCUGGGCAAGCUUCUGAGGCCUCUUCCAACCAGAGUGCCACCCACCAGACCUUCCUUUGUAGAAAUUCUGAAGUCGCCUUUGCAUAUAGUGCUUUAUGAUGCAUGAGUGCUACCCCACGCUGGCUCUUUUGUGUGUCUGUACCUCUUGUGAGAUUCCUCCAAAGCACCUGUUGAACCCAUGCUGGUCCUCAAAUGUGCUGAUGGAAGUGACAUGUGUUCUGCCCACAGGAUGUCUGACUUGAAGGGGAGCUGCUGUUUAUAAUGCCACAAGGAGAACAAAGGAAGACCGGUGAGGAGUUCAUUCCCAAGGUCAUGGCUACAGGAAGGACCCAGGUCUUUGGGUUGAGGCUCUAAAGAUGGGCCACAUCAUUACAGGAAUUUUGUUCCCUCCAGCCUUACCGACAGAGGAGGGUAAAGAUGCAUAGAUGAACUGCUGACCCACAUAGACAAACAGCUGGGAGCUCUGCUGUAAGAUGGCUGGAGCUGUCUAUAAGGCUGAGGUUGUUAGUGUUUCAUUUUCAGAGGCAGGGUGCUGCUUGGGACUUGCAGGCAGAUCAACCAACAGAUCAUACAGCAGUGGAGGAAGAUCUGUUCAUUGGCCUCACUGAGAACAGAAGGCAGGAUGAAUGAUCUGAGGGUGGUAGAGACCUCAGCAAGCCUUUGAAUCCAUAUUUUAGCCUUCACUUCCCUGUAACCACAAGCAGGGAGCUACUCUUACUGUUCUUCGAGUGAAUACCUUGAACUCUGUCCAUUUCUUUGAAUUUACUCAGGCUGUUGGGAGCAGGCAGCUUGCUGACCCUACCUCUGCUCAGGCCUCGACAGGAUUCUCUCUACAGGCUGGGCUGCAUGAAGUCCUAGAAGCUGGGGGUCCUCUUUCUUCACUGCCUGCUCUAGCUCAGGGGUGGCUGGGCUGUAAUAGACGGACCACCGGAUUUAGGCUUGGAAGAUCUGGGUUGGUAUCUGACACUGCCACUUAUUUGCAAGUCACUUAACCUCUAGGACUGAGUCCGGGUCAAUAAAAUGGGGACAAUACUGCCUCAUGUGGUCAUGAAUAAUGGAGGUGAGUAUACUACCAUUGAUUUAUAGUCAGACCUGCCCUGGGGGUCAGCUGACCGGUGCGGAAGAGGGAGGCCACUUCCCUGGAGGCAGAGGAGAUGUUGAUAUGUAGCUUCAGACAGUUUUCAGUGCUUGUUUCCCCCUACAUGUGGAUGUUCCUUUUAUUUUUUGUUGCAAUAUAUUUACUUUGGAUCUCGUAUUUAUAUACUGAGGAUGCUGCUUCCUAGGAAAGGAAAUAGACUUUACGAAAAUGCUAGUCUUUCAGAGGACAAGAGCCCAUAACUGUCACACAGAAUUUAACAGAAAAUAUUAUUGCACUGGAUUUAAUUUUUAGUAGCAGUCAAGUGCCUACUAUAGUGCUCUGCCCAUAUCAAGCACCCUGUAAAUGCUGAGGCUGGACUAAAGCAAAUACAACCCAACACAUAUGGAAUGGGAGGGUGAAGUGAGUGCAGACAAUGGAGAUUAGUGAGAAAAACCAAAGUUAAAGCACGACAGAGGUUUAAUGGAGUAUCAUAGAAUUAUCUACUGAGAGGAGAGAGUAGAAUAAACUAGAACUAAUAAGGAAAUACAACAGUAUGGAGAAGAGAAAUGUGGAAGCAGGGAAAAGCUGGAGAGGGACAGUCACCCCCAUGCAGUGGUUCUCCAUCUUGGCUGCACACAGGGACCACAUGGGGAGUUUUAAAUAAUACUGAAGCCUGGGUACAGUCCCCAGAGAAUCCAAUUUAAUUAGUAUGGGGUGGUGUCUGGGCAUCAGGAUUUUUAAAUGCUCCCUAGGUAAUUCUGAUGUGCAGCUGGGGUUGAAAACCGCCGUGUAAGGGAAUCAUUUAGCCAAAGAGUAAAGCUUGUAGUGCGGUAAAGGCUUAGUGCAGUGUGGUCCUCGGGGGACAAGACAAAGCCUCUGGCCAGGUAUCACUCACUUGUGACCAGGAGCGUCUGCCAGACUUCUGCUCCAUGUCCUUUCUCCAGGAGCAGCUUGGACUCUCAGUAGCUCCCCUCCCUGGUAACUGCCCUCCUCAGGCCUCUGACCCAUCAGAGGGUGUGGGGGCCUGUUCAGGUCAGCAUUAGCCACCUCUCUGUUCCUCUGAGCCCCUAUAGCAGUGCUGGGCCCCUCGUGGGCGCUUAGUAAAGGGUUGCUAGGUGCUGUGGUCCUUCUGGGCCCUUUCAUGCUGAUUGAAAUGGGCUAAGUUUGUGGUUCUUGCUUCUUCCUCCCAAUCCUGCCCUGACUUCAAGAUCCAAAUUCUGCCCUUCCCAGCUCCCUCUUGGGAAGUAGAAUUCAGGCAGGGGAGCCUGCUCACUGUGGUUCCUACACUGGACAACACAGCACGGUGCGUGACUGGAACUCAGCGUGCAGCACACCCGACCCACAGUAAUGCAUUCUGCUGUCAGCUUUGUGUUCUCUUUUUUUCCCUGCCCUUCCUCCUCCCUUUUCUUUCUCCCUCGCUCCUUUCCUUGUUUCUCUCCUGUACUCCCCAGGCUCACAGCAGCAACCUCAUCCAAGAAGACCUGCCGUUAAGAGUAAAAAUGUGUCCAGUGCCCUGAAGUGGCCGCUUGUUUUUGGAGGGAAUGACUUACUUUUUCUCCCCAGGAAUUGCUGAUUUCACAGUAAAGAUUUUGCUACCACAGGGAGACCUGUGGGUAGAAUUUAAAGUUA